ensembl:lncRNA
GGAUCAUGAAUGUAUUGAGUGAACGACGUCUGAGCUAAAUAUUAACUACCUGGAACUUGGUGCGUUUCCUGGAGCUCAGAGGACGCGUGUUUACCUGGUCGAUUAGGCCCUGAACACAGACCCUGAACCCAGACACCGUAAUCACAGACCCUGUGUUUAAUUAGCCCUGAAUAUAAUUUUUGGGUUAAAAAUAAAAAAUAACUUGAAUGGAACUUUAGACAUUUGGGGAUAAGCAGCACAACAGUCAGCCCCGGAUGUUUAUGAAACCUAGAAACAUCCCUGCCAUCGACGGCGUUCCCAUCGACGUGCCGGACGUCAGGUGGCGGAGGACGGGGUCCGACGGAUGGCAGGGGGCCACAAAGGGCCUCCAACGCCCCCCACUCCAGCUCAUACUUAGCCAUUAUCCUGUGUACUUAUACUCAUACUGAGCCAUUAUCCUGUGUACUUAUACUCGUACUGAGCCAGUAACCUGUGUACUUAUACUCAUACUGAGCCAGUAACCUGUGUACUCAUACUGAGCUAGUAUCCUGUGUACAUAUACUCAUUCUGAGCCAGUAUCCUGUGUACUGAUACUCAUACUGAGCCAGUAUCCGGGGUACUUAUACUCAUACUUAGGCAGUGUCCUGUGUACUUAUACUCAGUGGAAUCACAAGGCUGUUUUAUUCGGGGCUAAAGUGCCGGAUAUUAUUUAAUUAGCCCU